rnacentral:rRNA from 1 species
GAUGAACGCUGGCGGCGUGCCUAAUACAUGCAAGUCGAGCGAACGGACGAGAAGCUUGCUUCUCUGAUGUUAGCGGCGGACGGGUGAGUAACACGUGGAUAACCUACCUAUAAGACUGGGAUAACUUCGGGAAACCGGAGCUAAUACCGGAUAAUAUUUUGAACCGCAUGGUUCAAAAGUGAAAGACGGUCUUGCUGUCACUUAUAGAUGGAUCCGCGCUGCAUUAGCUAGUUGGUAAGGUAACGGCUUACCAAGGCAACGAUGCAUAGCCGACCUGAGAGGGUGAUCGGCCACACUGGAACUGAGACACGGUCCAGACUCCUACGGGAGGCAGCAGUAGGGAAUCUUCCGCAAUGGGCGAAAGCCUGACGGAGCAACGCCGCGUGAGUGAUGAAGGUCUUCGGAUCGUAAAACUCUGUUAUUAGGGAAGAACAUAUGUGUAAGUAACUGUGCACAUCUUGACGGUACCUAAUCAGAAAGCCACGGCUAACUACGUGCCAGCAGCCGCGGUAAUACGUAGGUGGCAAGCGUUAUCCGGAAUUAUUGGGCGUAAAGCGCGCGUAGGCGGUUUUUUAAGUCUGAUGUGAAAGCCCACGGCUCAACCGUGGAGGGUCAUUGGAAACUGGAAAACUUGAGUGCAGAAGAGGAAAGUGGAAUUCCCUGUGUAGCGGUGAAAUGCGCAGAGAUAUGGAGGAACACCAGUGGCGAAGGCGACUUUCUGGUCUGUAACUGACGCUGAUGUGCGAAAGCGUGGGGAUCAAACAGGAUUAGAUACCCUGGUAGUCCACGCCGUAAACGAUGAGUGCUAAGUGUUAGGGGGUUUCCGCCCCUUAGUGCUGCAGCUAACGCAUUAAGCACUCCGCCUGGGGAGUACGCCCGCAAGGUUGAAACUCAAAGGAAUUGACGGGGACCCGCACAAGCGGUGGAGCAUGUGGUUUAAUUCGAAGCAACGCGAAGAACCUUACCAAAUCUUGACAUCCUUUGACAACUCUAGAGAUAGAGCCUUCCCCUUCGGGGGACAAAGUGACAGGUGGUGCAUGGUUGUCGUCAGCUCGUGUCGUGAGAUGUUGGGUUAAGUCCCGCAACGAGCGCAACCCUUAAGCUUAGUUGCCAUCAUUAAGUUGGGCACUCUAAGUUGACUGCCGGUGACAAACCGGAGGAAGGUGGGGAUGACGUCAAAUCAUCAUGCCCCUUAUGAUUUGGGCUACACACGUGCUACAAUGGACAAUACAAAGGGCAGCGAAACCGCGAGGUCAAGCAAAUCCCAUAAAGUUGUUCUCAGUUCGGAUUGUAGUCUGCAACUCGACUACAUGAAGCUGGAAUCGCUAGUAAUCGUAGAUCAGCAUGCUACGGUGAAUACGUUCCCGGGUCU